rnacentral:tRNA from 1 species
GGUUCCUUAACUUAAUAGGUAAAGUAUACUCUUGAUAAGGGUAUGUUCGACGUUCGAGUCGUCGAGGAAUCA